AUCCAGCUGACAAGUUCUAAAUAGAACGAAAGGUGCGUACUGGAU
rnacentral:hammerhead_ribozyme from 1 species